GACGAACGCUGGCGGCGUGCCUAAUACAUGCAAGUUGAGCGCUGAAGGUUGGUCCUUGUAUCAACUGGCUGAGCAGCGAACGGGUGAGUAACGCGUGGGGAAUCUGCCUUUGAGCGGGGGACAACAUUUGGAAACGAAUGCUAAUACCGCAUAAAAACUUUAAACACAAGUUUUAAGUUUGAAAGAUGCAAUUGCAUCACUCAAAGAUGAUCCCGCGUUGUAUUAGCUAGUUGGUGAGGUAAAGGCUCACCAAGGCGAUGAUACAUAGCCGACCUGAGAGGGUGAUCGGCCACAUUGGGACUGAGACACGGCCCAAACUCCUACGGGAGGCAGCAGUAGGGAAUCUUCGGCAAUGGACGAAAGUCUGACCGAGCAACGCCGCGUGAGUGAAGAAGGUUUUCGGAUCGUAAAACUCUGUUGGUAGAGAAGAACGUUGGUGAGAGUGGAAAGCUCAUCAAGUGACGGUAACUACCCAGAAAGGGACGGCUAACUACGUG
rnacentral:rRNA from 1 species